GGGAACUAUAUGGCCCAGUCCAGUAUCCACCACAGUUCAUGGAUUUCAUGCGUGUGGGACCCACGAGCCCAAUGUGGAUUUCAUUUUAACCCAACAUGGCCCAUUAUAGCCUAAGCCCAUAAAAACGCUCAUGGAGGCCUCUAUAGUCCAACACCAUGUUUCAUGGGCUCAAAUUACCAUACAAGCGUUCGUACACUCAUAUGGCCUCGUACACUGUCUUUCUUGGCUUUUCAGUUUUUGUCAACUUGCAGUUAAAGGGGUGUGAUCACAAACCUAGAUUCUAUUUGCCGAGAAACCUCUCAC
rnacentral:lncRNA from 1 species